CUCACAUCCUGCCUUUGCAAGAGAGCGCUCCAGGGACCGAUCAUCCACACCCAACCUGCAGCCCACACAGCACAAGACACCCAGGUGCAUGUCCAUGUGGCUUUCCUGCAUGACUGACUUCCCGUCAGUCAGCCAGAGGAUAUCAGAAAAAUCCCCUCCAGACCUCCACGGCACCUCGGCACAGCGGAGGCCCAGCGGGGCGGAAACCGGGCCGAGCUGAUCCACGACAAAAGCCAACUGGGAGUGAUUGACUCUCCAAUCUUAAGAAGGUCAAAUACCUCGGUGGCUUGGCUAACUCUGCUCAAGAUUACUUGCCACUCAAGGAGAGGAAGCAGUGGUGGAGUGGAGGUGACGUUCCAGGUACAGUUAAAGCAGACAGAGGAUUAUCUUUCCUCUUAUUAGCGUGUUACUCAACAGAUUAAAUUGUCCAGAAUACUGCCAUAACCACACAAAGAAAAAGAAGCCUAAAUGCAACCUGCCAUAAAGUGAUUACUUCUACUUUGUCAGAGAGAGAUUCUGAAUAAACACAGGCUCAGUGACCAAUUAGUCAUUGAAAUUGGAAGACAUAAAAAGACAAGGCUAACAAGGGAUGUGCAGGCAGAGAUACUCCUCCUCUUUUGUGUUGAAAAUAUCCUUCAUUCUUUGAAGAAACAGUGAGCAAAAAACCUGAAGUUCUCCUCUAAGAGAAAAAUCUUAAUUGUCAUGGCUGAAGUGACAGCAGCAGCAAUUGUGACUAGAUAUAUCACAGGCUGUCAGAGAACCAGAUGCUCUGAAUAACUGUCGCAUCUGCAGAUAACUCACUGACUGUUGAAAUAAAUGUUGCUCUACAGACGCUGUACAUGACAUCUUGUCUCAAAGCUAGUGUACAGGCUGUAGUCGUUUUUGUACAAGCGAUACA